AAAAUCCUCAUCAAACUUAGUCCAUUUUUCAUGGAAAGUUUUGAUUUCUAUGCAGAUUGUCCCAGGCACACAUCAUCCUGCCUUGGGAGAUGGGAAGAGUGCAGCAGUGGGAAUUAGUUUUUUCAGAGAUGCUUUCUCUCAAAAUAAUUUUGACCUGUGGUGAAGCAAUACUUUUGUUCUCUGCACAUCGAUGGGCCACCAUAGGUGGAUGGAAAUUGGGAAUGGAUACAGAAAUCUGGUGCACGCUACUGGCUGGCUCCUGUGGUUCACAGCAGAAGUGGCUGCAUUUGUCUAGAAAAAAAACGAUUCCUGUGAAUCUCUUCUGUCACUGUGCUACACUCCACCACCAGCAGCUUCCAGUGCAGCAGUAGAUAAGUUUUUAAGGAAGCAGUACUAACUGUUCAUAUGUCAGCAUUUUUUAUGCCUACCUGAG
rnacentral:lncRNA from 1 species